AUUCUCCUCCUUCAAUUUGUAUGCCUCUUUGGUAUUUGCACAGGGGAAGGUUCUACAUGAGAGGUUCAUGCUCUUUGCUUAGGCAAAGUAGGAUGAAGAGAGACAUUACUUUUCAUUUUUGAAGUUAAUUCAUAAUAUAUUUUUAGUCUCUCUGUUUUAUGGAGUGUAUGUGGGGAGUUCUGGUUUUCCUGUAGAACACUUGCACUGCAGAAGCUGUGAAGAAGAGCUGUGAAGAUAUCAGCAAUACCUGCCAGCUUUUAAUCUUGUCCCAGAGGUGUCGAAAUUCAUCAAAGUUUAUCUUCCCUGAGCCAUCUGUCUGUGAUGCAAACAUUCAGAUUAUCAGUACUGACAAUAUGUAGAGAUCAUCUCUGUGAAAAGUUCAGCUCGUUAAAGUCUCAGAUGCAAUGUCCAUGGAAAGGGAGAAUUUGAUGGGAAGAAAUGCAAAGGAAACUUCGAUAUUCAGUGUUUUGAAUCCAUGGAUUAGUUGAUUUAGGAGCUGUUGUGGCCAGGCUGCUUUGAUGGCAGAGACAGGGAUCAAUUGCAUACUCACAUCUCCUGCAAUCUGUCGGAAAAUAUUCCUGAACUGUUUUUGCUCUUCACUCUCCUCAUGAGCUUUUGUUGAAGAACGCUGAAAAGAGACCAGCAGAGAUACAUCCUGAGUCCAGUGGAGAAGAGAAAGGGCCUGGAUGGCUCACAUGCCGUUGUGUGAGGGAUCAUCUUAGUAAAUUUGGAGGCUUUUGGAGGAAUGGGUUGUCCUCCCAUUCCUUUCCUCAUGUUUUUAUUCAUUCUGUUCCUUAAAACUGCCAAGUAUUUAAUUUUAUCUGUUCAUACCUUUGCUCUCUUUUCUAUAUGAAGGAGCCUAAAUAAUUACUUCCACUGGCAGUUAUCUUCUAAUUUUUUGUACCAAAAUAUUGCAAAGGAGAAGUUUGGAGCAGAAGAGGCAUAUCAGAGAAUCAAAGAAUGGUUUUGGUUGGAAGGAACCUUAAAGAUUAUCUCGUUCAAGCCCACCAGCCAUGGGCAGGGACACAAUAUCUGCAUCACAGCUUCCCUGUAGGCUAUCAAUGACCAUGUGAGAACUCUUUAUGAUGUGGGGGGCCCUUGCUGAAGACAAGUAACAUAUAAGACAGAGGAAAAUGAGGAACAAGCUUUAUCAGACACAUGGAAAGUGCAACUCUGAACUCUGAAGCUGAUACUGAAAAGGGAAAUGAAAGUUAUACGUAACAAAGUUAAUUUCUUGGCUUAGUUCCUGUUUUUCUUUGUCUAAAUGCAGAGGAAAGUUUAGGUUGGUUCCCACUUUGCCAUCUGCAUGCUCUGGUUGUCAUGCAGCAGAACAGCACUCUCCCUGUAAGCAGAUGCUCCAGCCAUGCCUCCAGAUGCCACAAGCCUGGAUGUGGGAUCUGGCUGUUAGAUAUGUUGUCUCACCUACCUGCAGGCAGAAACCCUGAAUUUGCUACUCUGGUUUCCUCCUCUCUGGUAGUGAGGGAAAAGAGGGGGAGUGCUGGAGCUCCUGGGUUUACCUGUCCUUUAUCCUCUGGCCAACAGGGACUAGGAUAGAGUUGUGUAGUUUGUACCAGGAGGGGCUGUGGUCACUGCCAGGAGCUUCUACAGCCCCUUGGGUGAAGUUUGUGCAUGUCCCCUCUGUAAAGCAGUAGCGCCUCAAGGGGCUGAGCAAGAGUGAAUUGAAUGUGGGGAAGGAAUCUCUCACAACUGGGAUUCUUGUAUAAGAGAGCAACCAGGAGAUCCUGCAGGAUUGUUGAAUAACUGAAGGGACAGUCUGUCUGUGCUCAUGCCCAUUACAUCCACAUAAACCAGAUGUGAGUCAUGUUAAGAUUUGAUGAGAAGCUGUUUAGUGUCUCAGGACACCUUUUUGUCCAAUUCCUGUGCCCUCCCCAGCCACUCUUUUGUGUCAGACUGAGCCUUAUUCUCCCCUCUGCCACUUGCUACAGAAACCUUUUUCUCAUCUGCUUGGGUUUUUUCACCAUCUUUGCCAGCAUUUUCAUCUGCUGUCAGCUCCUUAUUGCUGUUUGCUCUGUCAGAAACGAAGAUGAUAGGCUAGAAGAAGAAGAGAGUGAAAGAGAAAUGGAAAUUACAUGAGGAAUAGUGGAAAGAAAAGUAUUUGGUCACAUGCAUUCCGUGGAAGGUGCAUGCAACAACAACUCCUGCUCGUGAAAGCAUGACAAGAGAAGCCAUUUCAUGGAAUGAAAGAAAAGAAAGGAUAACAAAAAACAAAAACAAAACAAACAACAAAAAAUAGAAACAUUUCUGCAGUACUGCUCUCAUGCAAGGAAAAAAAACCCCAAAAAACAAAACACUCACCCAAAACCUGCAAAAGUCUCUUUGCAAAAUAGUGCAAUUUCUGGACUCUAGAUUUCCUUGUCAGAAAGAUAUAAUUGAACAUGUUUGGUUUUUUGUUUUUGUUCGGAGUUCUUUGUGUGGUUUUGUUUUGGUGUUUUAGUUAGGUUUCUUGUUUGUUUUUGGGGAGUUUCCCCCAUUUUUAAACAAAAUAAGCCCCCCAGAUUCUCAUCACUUAAACUGAUGAGCUUACCCCUCAAUGAAGGACAGUAGCACUGAAAACAAACAAAAUAUGACUUGUACACAGAAAAGAAGUUAUUUGUGUAGGAGCUUGUUAGUUAUGUUCUUUCUCUGUAUUGAUUCUUCAAGCACUCAGCUGUAAGCAGCCUCGUUCCAUUGUUCUGGUUUGGUGCAUUUAAACAAGGAAAAACUGCUACAUGAUGUGAAUGUAUUAAUCUAGGGUAUUAAUUACAAUCAGCUUGUCUUGGGAUUAAAAUAUCUGAUUACAUUUUUAAGGUCCAAAAUAUGUUGUGUCGAAUCAAAAAUAGAAUCCUGGACUUUGGUGAACAGAAACUUCAGGAAAGGGGAGUGGCUGCUGCACUAGACAAUGGAAUGCAAGUGUGAGGGCACAUGUCUGGAGAGAGGCUUUUCACUGGCAAGGAGUGUUGGGUUGCCUGUGAAAGGAGCAGAAAGGAAGAACAGUCUGAACAACCCAGAGGAUUGAGCUGAUAAAUCUGAACGGUUUGUUACGCUUUCACCACCCCUUUGAGUGAGAGGGGUAAGGGGUAUAUGAUGCUAAUGCUAUUUCAUUAGAACCUAAUGUAGGAAGCCAAAUCUUUGCUGCAUGCAAAUGGCCUCAUAUCCAGUGCCCUUCAACCAACCUAACUAGGUCACUUUCCAGACACAGAGAAAAUUAUAAUACCAAGAAACUCUUCCCCUGCUCAUGCGCUGCACAUGCUCCUUGCCUUUAGGGCACUUAGCACAUUGCACAGGUACCUACCUUGCCCUUUUUCUUCUGUGUGAAGAGACAAAAUUAAAAAGUGUUUGAUCAGAUUAUGCAGAGCUGAUGGCAAACUUUUAUUUUUUUAUUUUUCCCUUUCUCAUAUUUGUUUUUUCCAGUUCCUAUACUCAUACAAAUAUUCCUAUAUCUAUACAGCUUUCAAAUGACUAAAAAGGAGGGAACAUGCACACACCAAGAAAUGGGAUACUGAAGGAAACACAUUGCAGAAAUCAUAGCAAAACUGUGUUUCAACUCAUCUGAGGCUUUUGCUUGAAUAAAAUCUCUUUAGCUCUCAGUAUUCCUUUUCUUUUUCCCAACCUGCCAGUGCAGUGGAGAUUGAACGUCUAUGCCCAUAGAUCAAUGGUAUCUGAAGGGACAAUUUAACUCCCUCAUAUCUGGACUUUUCACUAUUUUUCACUAUGACAGCAAACAAAAGGGAAACAUUUCUGAGUAAGGUUUGAUGGAACUCAAUUCUGUGCAAAAGCAUUUCUUCUGAUUUUUUUUUUUUUUUUUUUUCCCAAGACUAAUUGUACUGUUAGCUCUAGUGUUUUCCCACAAAACUCCAGGGCAAGGAGUUAAAACUUGUCAUGGAUGCUAUUUUGAAUCAGAGUGCUAUUAGGAUCUAUUUUCAGAAAGCAGGUACUUCAAAAUAAGGUAGUUUUUUUCUUUAUUAGAUGAGAUACCAAUUCCACAAAGAAAGUAUCUCAGGUCACAGAGCUAGGCCUCCCUUGGUAAAUGGAUAUUCUCCAUUGAUGGAGGCAAAGACAAUGUUUAGCAUCCAGUUUCUUUAUGCCAGGACCACAUUUCAAAUCUGCAAAAGCAUUUUGGUCUGAAUCAAGUUCAGAAAGUAGUGUACAUAAAGAAGUGUCAAUGGAAGUAUCUUGGUGAGAAAAAGAUGAGAAUUUGUGAUAAACAUGCUGUUAUGGGGCUGCAAAUGAUUUUUUGCUGUAAGUUCCCCUAGGUAUCGUGUCCCCCUUCUCUCAACCCCUAUACACAAAAGGGGACCUGGACAGUACUUACCAAUGGACGCUCUGCCUCAAUCAUGUUUUCAACCUCCCUAAGCAGAAAGCAGAAAAUAAAUAAA